UUUAUCAGCAAUAAUAAAACCAAAGAAUAUGUUUGGUAGAAGACUAUCUUAGGAUAAAAGUAGGUAAGAACUACAAAUUUAACAGAAUUAUUAACUGUGAAAAAAAUACAAAGGAGUAACCAAACGGGAAAAGGCUAGAUAAUUGGCACCACAUUUCAAUUAGUGUUCUGCAUUUUGAAUUUGUCUGAUUGUUUCUUCCCAAUCAGAAUCAGGUGAAACAUUUUUAGCAAAAUCCAGUGUGUAAUGAAUGCUGUGUAUUUCUUACUGCAUCAUAGCAGGAGGCUCAAAAUACAUGGACCACCAGAUCUCUUCAUUUAAAAGGCACCUUUCUAUUUUGCAAAUAACAAUCUACAAGGUGGUUUAUUUGAGACCAUGUAAAUAUCCUUUUUCCAGUCAACUUUAACCCCUAAUUGUUUUAGCAUCUAUGGAUUAUGCUUUCUUGAAAUAGUUAUUUUGUUGCGGGUUAAAAAAUGGUUAUUUUAUAAAUUCUUUAUUUCUUCUAGAAUUAUUAGCUGGUAUUAUUUUGUGCAGGAGAGCUUCUCCUAUAUAUAUAUAUUUUUUUUCUCUAUCAUUCUGGAUUUAUUUUUGAUAUAUCAUGACAUAAUUUUUUAUAUAUCAUAUUGUUUUUGAUAUAUAAUAUUGUUCUUUGUGAUAUAUCAUAUAUUUGGUUUUUUGAUAUAGCAUGAUAUUAUAUCUCAUUACCAUGUGGUAGACUUCUAAUUGAUGUUAGCUUUUCCUCUAAUCUCUGUCUCUCUCCCAUCCUCCCUCUCCCUUUUGUCUACUCUCAAUACCUUGAUAGUCAUCUUGUGUAUCACAACCAUUCUACUUUU
rnacentral:lncRNA from 1 species